UUUUGCAUAGUUUAAAAAACACCGCACUUUCACUGCGGAGAUAGGUCUAUCCCUUGUAAUAC
rnacentral:tRNA from 1 species